GAGCGGAUGGGCGGUUCAGCGAUGGAUUGCGCAUCAGCGGCAGACGGGUGAGUAACGCGUGGGAACAUACCCUUUGGUUCGGAAUAACUUGAGGAAACUUGAGCUAAUACCGGAUACGCCCCCGGGGGUGACUCUGGGGGGAAAGAUUGAUUGCCGAAGGAUUGGCCCGCGUCCGAUUAGCUAGUUGGUGGGGUAACGGCCCACCAAGGCGACGAUCGGUAGCUGGUCUGAGAGGAUGAUCAGCCACAUUGGGACUGAGACACGGCCCAAACUCCUACGGGAGGCAGCAGUGGGGAAUAUUGGACAAUGGGCGCAAGCCUGAUCCAGCCAUGCCGCGUGAGUGAUGACGGCCUUAGGGUUGUAAAGCUCUUUCGCUCGGGACGAUAAUGACGGUACCGAGAGAAGAAGCCCCGGCUAACUUCGUG
rnacentral:rRNA from 1 species